CCCAGACUCCUACGGGAGGCAGCAGUGAGGAAUAUUGGUCAAUGGUCGGGAGACUGAACCAGCCAAGCCGCGUGAGGGAUGAAGGUACAGAGUAUCGUAAACCUCUUUUGUCAGGGAACAAAGGCGGGGACGUGUCCCCGGAUGAGUGUACCUGAAGAAAAAGCAUCGGCUAACUCCGUGCCAGCAGCCGCGGUAAUACGUAGGGAGCAAGCGUUAUCCGGAUUUAUCGGGUGUAAAGGGUGCGUAGACGGGUAAACAAGUUAGUUGUGAAAUCCCUCGGCUUAACUGAGGAACUGCAACUAAAACUAUUUAUCUUGAGUGCGGGAGAGGAAAGUGGAAUUCCUAGUGUAGCGGUGAAAUGCGUAGAUAUUAGGAGGAACACCAGUGGCGAAGGCGACUUUCUGGACCGUAACUGACGUUGAGGCACGAAAGUGUGGGGAGCAAACAGGAUUAGAUACCCGCGUAC
rnacentral:rRNA from 1 species